rfam:Candidatus Levybacteria bacterium RIFCSPHIGHO2_01_FTLL_40_10 rifcsphigho2_01_scaffold_43307, whole genome shotgun sequence.
UUUAUCUAUUCUAAAUAGAUGAACUUGAAGAAGAGAAGUCAGCUGAUCCAUAGUACUUCGACAUCUGUCGGAGGAAGGGA